rnacentral:rRNA from 1 species
ACUCCUACGGGAGGCAGCAGUGGGGAAUUUGGACAAUGGGCGAAAGCCUGAUCCAGCCAUGCCGCGUGCAGGAUGAAGGCCUUCGGUUGUAAACUGUCUUUGUACGGAACGAAAGACUCUGGUUAAUACCUGGGGUCCAUGACGGUACCGUAAGAAUAAGCACCGGCUAACUACGUGCCAGCAGCCGCGGUAAUACGUAGGGUGCAAGCGUUAAUCGGAAUUACUGGGCGUAAAGCGUGCGCAGGCGGUUAUAUAAGACAGAUGUGAAAUCCCCGGGCUCAACCUGGGAACUGCAUUUGUGACUGUAUAGCUAGAGUACGGCAGAGGGGAUGGAAUUCCGCGUGUAGCAGUGAAAUGCGUAGAUAUGCGGAGGAACACCGAUGGCGAAGGCAAUCCCCGUGGGCCUGUACUGACGCUCAUGCACGAAAGCGUGGGAGCAAACAGGAUUAGAUACCCCUGGUAGGAUAGCG